rnacentral:rRNA from 1 species
GAGCACGUAGGUGGGUUUGUAAGUCAGAUGUGAAGGCCUUCUGUUCAACGGAAGAAUUGCAUCUGAAACUGCAGAUCUUGAGUGUAGGAGGGGAGAAUGGAACUUCUGGUGGAGCGGUGAAAUGCGUAGAUAUCAGAAGGAACGCCGGCGGCAAAAGCGAUUCUCUGGCCUAUUACUGACACUCAGUGUGCGAAAGCUAGGGGAGCAAACGGGAUUAGAUACCCCGGUAGUCCUAGCCGUAAACGAUGGGCACUAAGUAGAGGGGU